UCUCUGAGCAGAGGAACAAAUGAGGAUGCAGCUCUGCUAAAGCAGUGGGAGCUUUGCUGCACGGCGGGCUGCUGGGACUGCAUGUGGGCCCUCUGAAAAGAGCAAGAGCCGUUGCAAGGCACUGCAGUGAGCACAGCGCCUGGCUGCCCCUUAGGAAACCUUAGGAAGCAGCGAGCAUCUCUGUGUCACAGUAACUCAACGUGCACCGCAGAGAGAAGGAAAAGUUUUGCUGCUGGUAGCUUUAAGCCAGCAUUAUGAUACCACAUUGUGAGAUGCUCUAGAAGGCUCUGGGAGAUGCUGGAAGACCCACCUUUGAAACAAGAAGCCCAGUUUAACCAUAUCAGCUUCGCUGGGCUGACCCAUGUCCACAGACAGAAGACUACCAAAGGUUUCUGUGCACUCCAGUAACGGUGCAGGAAUUGCUCUGGUCUUCCAGCGUGAGGAUGCACAACCCCCACCCUCUCUUUCUGAAACCAAAGCAAGUCAGAGAGGAGUUCAAAUACAAUGAACUUCAGAAAAGAAGCCGCAGAGGACAAAUAUCCACCUAAUCAGUGGUAAUACUUAAAACAGGAGUCAUUAUAUCCCAGACUUACUCUUCAGGACGGGUUAUUAAGAGGAUCUAUUUAACAGUAUGAGAGCUUGCAGCUUGCCCACACCAUUCCAGCCUUUGUUUCAGGUCAUUCUCUCAUUAACAUGCCAUGCAUAAUUAUCUAUUCUGCCUGGAUGCCUGAAUUGUAGUUAUUUCAUUCUCAUUUUCUUUUUUUUAAAUAUAAAAUGUAUACACAUCUGCCUGUUAUUCACGCUAUUAAGGAGUUAACUUUCUGCUGAUUUACCGAGAAGCUAAAACUGGUUAUUCAUCUGACGGCGCUGUGAACGCUACGUGACAACUGCAGCCUCUCUCAUUGAUUUGCUCUAAGAUGCUUUGCAGAAGUUCUUCCUCUUCCAAUAAAAUAAGUACAGGUCAUUAAUUAUCUUUUCAAAACAAACCCCACAGAAACAUUGAAUUUCUUCGUACAUGUUUGCAUUCUUUGAAUGAAGUUACAAUAUCCAUUUUCCAAUUUUACAGUCUACUGCAUCCCACCAAAUAUAAUUUGCGGGACUUCAACAAGCCAAGUCAUGUACACAUGCAACUUUCCUCCUUUCACUAAUGCACUAAAGUUUGAACUGAGUACUUUGACAUGUUAGGGUUUCCAAACAGUAAACUUUAAAACAAGUGCUACUCCUUCCUUGCAGCAAAAACACUUAGGUGUGAUUCUUUCACUAUCACUUCUUAAAUCCCAUGAUAUCCCACAACUCCCAAAGAAGUUUCAGUCUGAUACUUCCAGAUUACUUAAUCCUUCAAUUAUUUUUUAACUCCUGCCUCUCACAACAUUAAAUCAUGCAACUUCUUUCUGCCCUGUUAUAAACUGUCAUAUUUUUUAGCAGGAAUUGCAUUUGACAAAGAAGGUUAAUUCCAAGCUUUUUACUGGAAAUAGAGAUGUUGCCUUUGAAAGAAAAAUUCUGUUAUCACUCUAUGUUAAUUUGAGAUCAGGGGCGUUGAAACUAGAUGAUCGUUCUGAUCCUUUUCAACCCAAGCCAUUCUACGUUUCUAUGAUAUGAUUCUAUGAUAUGAUGAGUAGAUCAAAGUGGAUAUUUUGUGUUCUACCUACAAAAUCCGUAGUACCACAACAAAUCCUUUCCGCACCCUCCUCCACUUGUUGUCUUCCAAGGAACAUAUGAGAAAAGUCAGGAACAAGAAUAUUCCUUGGAAAUGUUCCUACUGGGCUUCUCUCUCAUGUCUGAAUACAGAGCCCCCAUCUUUCUUUGGACUUCAAAAUACCACAACAUUUAGGCAGAUGCAGGCAUUGAAAUGUUUAAAUGCACUGAAGGGCAUUGUUUAGAGGGAAAUAUUGGUGAUAGGUGGAUAAUUGGAAUGGCUGAUCUUGGAGGUU